CCUACGGGUGGCAGCAGUGGGGAAUAUUGGACAAUGGGCGCAAGCCUGAUCCAGCAAUGCCGCGUGAGUGAUGAAGGCCUUAGGGUUGUAAAGCUCUUUCGCACGCGACGAUGAUGACGGUAGCGUGAGAAGAAGCCCCGGCUAACUUCGUGCCAGCAGCCGCGGUAAUACGAAGGGGGCUAGCGUUGUUCGGAAUUACUGGGCGUAAAGGGCGCGUAGGCGGCCUGUUAAGUUAGGAGUGAAAGCCCCGGGCUCAACCUGGGAAUUGCUCUUAAUACUGGCAGGCUUGAGUUCCGGAGAGGAUGGUGGAAUUCCCAGUGUAGAGGUGAAAUUCGUAGAUAUUGGGAAGAACACCGGUGGCGAAGGCGGCCAUCUGGACGGACACUGACGCUGAGGCGCGAAAGCGUGGGGAGCAAACAGGAUUAGAUACCCCUGUAGUC
rnacentral:rRNA from 1 species